GGGUAUUUAGUGCAAGAUAAAUAAUUUUUUUCACUUGCUAAAGAUGGGGAAAGAAAUACAAAAGGAGGCCCACCACAACCGCCCUGUAUUAUAUAUGGUUUCUUACAGUCCAUAGAUCUCUCUGAAAUUCAGCAACACGGUACCAGAAAUUAUUAAUGACAAAUACUAACAAACUGUCAUGCUCAAAAAAAUUAAGACACAUUACGUGAUUCACGCACACUUUAUAUUUUGAAACUAGACUUUGGUAGUUUUUAUAUUAUUUUAAUAUCCGUAAACUUUAUAUAUAAUAAUCAUAGUCGUAGACCUAUAUUUAAAAAUAUAUAUGUUAUUUGGUAAAUUUAAAUUUGAGUUUUCAUUCCUAAUCUUCUACCCAAAAUAAAUAAAUAAAUUAUGAUUAUAGAUUCACCUCUCUAACGCCUAAUUUUUAUAAAAAUUUAACUUUUAACCCCUUAAAUUAUUAAACUCCUCUAAUUUCAUAAAAAUUAUUUAAUGAAAAGCAACGAUUUGUCAUCAAGGACGUUGUUAUUUAUAUAUGAUGGAGCAGCAAAUUUUUUACAUGAAAUGACUUGAAAUCACUAUAAACUAAGUUACGAUUCACCAAUGAAUUUUAUUAAUGGAUUUUUAUUCGUUAGUAAUUUUAAUAUAUUUAUUAACGAAUUUGAAAAUUUUUUGAUAAAUUUU
rnacentral:lncRNA from 1 species